GACUUAAAAUCCGUCGACUUUAG
rnacentral:tRNA from 1 species